UUCUAUAGCCAGUGUGUUGAAUAUGCCAGUUCCAAUUGGAUUAAUGAGGUUAAGCAACGUUGCGCGUGUUUGGUAUUUAAAUGGGUGACCUCCUGGACAUCAGUGAUGUGCUAGUGGCAU
rnacentral:rRNA from 1 species